rnacentral:lncRNA from 1 species
UAAAACGUGGGCUCCACUCCCAGCAGUUCAACAUCUGGCCGUCUUUGUCCCAUGCUCUUAAAUCUUGCUAAGGCUUGGGUUUUGUUUGUAAUAGAAAUUCUAAAGCAGGGACAGAAGAAGUUAUCUUUUCUAAAUUGCCCACCUCUGUUGUCUAAUUAUUCCACUGAGGAAAACACUUGGUCCUGGAUUACUUCGCUGAGCUCAGAUAUGUUUUGCUGACACACAGAGUCUGGGCAGCAUCCAGCCCCCCGUUUACUCCCUGGUCUUUAAGUCUAGGUCAUUUCAGGACCAGGACAGUUUGGCACUGGGACGUGUUUCCCAGAAGUACUAAUAGUUCGAGAGAGGAGCAAGUGUCUUCACAUCUGCAGGUCUGGGUGCCGAACUUUCUACUGUCGAAGCCUGAGGUGAGAUGUCUGGCCGUGUUGCUAGUGCCGUCGCCCUCAAGAAGCCAAACAGGCUCUCAGAGUCUCUCAGGCCCUGCCCCCGGACGUGGCCCCGCCCCAGAGCAUGCUGGGCAGGACCUCCCCAUAGAUCCCUCCCAUUGCCAAUGUAUUCCUCCAGAGGAUUCUGAGCUCUGCUUGGUGUUUCCAGCUGUGAUGAGCCAGCUAAAGUCUCCUCCCACAUGAGGGUCUGGACAGGACUGUACAACAGGUGUCUCACAACUUCUGCUUGGGUUCAGGAAACAUGAGAGCCAUUAAUAACUCCUGAACCCAGAAGCCCAGAACUUCCUGUAAGACAAAUGAGGAAAGGUAACUUUUUAUUCCUUCUGGAAUCCCCUCAGGUGGAGGGUAGAAACAGCAUUAUCCUGCUUCAAAUGAAGGUUGCCUCAAGCUGGGCAAGAAUCCCUGCAAAGGAAAAUUACCUACUCUUGUCAGCCCAACCCCCUCCCACAGUGAAGCAUUGCUAAACUUGCAUAAUACUCAGUUCCUUCUCUACCUCCUGGCCCCCAUAGAAGGAAGGAACAGACCCCGAGUCUCCUGGGAGAGAUAGGGAGGCAGCCUCCACAAAUCUCUGAGCUUCCACUUGGCCUCCCUAAGGAAGACCAAACGUGUCCUUGUGACCCCAGGAAAAUAGCCUAAUUUAGGCUCUGAUCCAGGGCCAGUGGAAGUUCCAGAGGAAAGGCCUCAAGAGGAGCCCCGGGGCCAGCCCCGUGGCCAAGUGGUUAAGUUCACACGCUCCGCAUUGGCGGCCCAGGGUUUCACUGGUUCGGAUUCUGGGUGUGGACAUGGCACUGCUCAUCAGGCCACGUUGAGGCGGCGUCCCACAUGCCACAACUAGAGGGACCCACAACUGAAAUAUACAACUAUGUACUGAGGGGAUUUGGGGAGAAAAAAAGAAGAAGAUUGGCAACAGUUGUUAGCUCAGGUGCCAAUCUUAAAAAAAAAAAAAGAGAGAGAGAGAAGAGCCCCUUCUCAUAGCCUUGGCCCCUUCAUUGUGGCUGCAGAUUAGGGCACAGUUCUGAGUGUUAAUCCAUGUGAAGGCUGCCUCAAGAAAGCUGAUUCCCUUAGGCAGCACCUGGUACCAGAGAAA